rnacentral:rRNA from 1 species
GCCCAGCCGUAAACUAUUAAUUUACAUCCACCAGCGCCAGGGAAUUACGAGCAAUGCUUAAAACCCAAAGGAUUUGACGGUGUCCCAUCCCCCUAGAGGAACCUGUUCUAGAAUCGAUAAUCCCCGAUACACCUCACCACUCCUAGCUAAUCAGUCUGUAUACCUCCGUCUGAAGCCUACCGUCUGAGCGACACAAAGUGGGCUCGAUGACCCCCGUCAAUAAGUCAGGUCAAGGUGCAACUAACGGAAUGGAAAGUUAUGGGUUACAAUUUCUAAAUUAGAACAAACGGAAAUUAUGUGAAAUCAUAAUAAUGAAGGCGGAUUUAGUAGUAAAAAGAAAAUAGAGAGUUCUUUUUAACCUGGCUCUGGGACG